AUUGAACGCUGGCGGAAUGCUUUACACAUGCAAGUCGAACGGCAGCACGGGGGCAACCCUGGUGGCGAGUGGCGAACGGGUGAGUAAUACAUCGGAACGUGCCCAGUCGUGGGGGAUAACGUAGCGAAAGCUACGCUAAUACCGCAUACGAACUGAGGUUGAAAGCGGGGGAUCGCAAGACCUCGCGCGAUUGGAGCGGCCGAUGGCAGAUUAGGUAGUUGGUGGGGUAAAGGCUCACCAAGCCGACGAUCUGUAGCUGGUCUGAGAGGACGACCAGCAACACUGGGACUGAGACACGGCCCAGACUCCUACGGGAGGCAGCAGUGGGGAAUUUUGGACAAUGGGCGCAAGCCUGAUCCAGCCAUUCCGCGUGCAGGAUGAAGGCCCUCGGGUUGUAAACUGCUUUUGUACGGAACGAAACGGCCUGGGUUAAUACCUCGGGCUAAUGACGGUACCGUAAGAAUAAGCACCGGCUAACUACGUGCCAGCAGCCGCAGUAAUAC
rnacentral:rRNA from 1 species